GAUGAACGCUGGCGGCGCGCCUAACGCAUGCAAGUCGAACGAUUAAAGCACCUUCGGGUGUGUAUAAAGUGGCGAACGGCUGAGUAACACGUGGGCAACCUGCCCCUCUCAUUGGGAUAGCCACGGGAAACCGUGGAUAAUACCGAAUACUUCGGGACUUCCGCAUGGAAGACUCGAGAAAGCUCCGGCGGAGAGGGAUGGGCCCGCGGCCUGUUAGCUUGUUGGUGGGGUAAUGGCCUACCAAGGCAAUGAUGGGUAGCUGGGUUGAGAGACCGACCAGCCAGAUUGGGACUGAGACACGGCCCAGACUCCUACGGGAGGCAGCAGUGGGGAAUCUUGCACAAUGGGCGAAAGCCUGAUGCAGCGACGCCGCGUGCGGGAUGAAGGCCUUCGGGUUGUAAACCGCUUUCAGCAGGGACGAGGCGAAAGUGACGGUACCUGCAGAAGAAGCCCCGGCUAACUACGUG
rnacentral:rRNA from 1 species